rnacentral:tRNA from 1 species
GAGUACGGCAAGCCUUCCAAUCUCAUGGCCCGGGUUCAAAUCCCGGCCGGCGCA